rnacentral:rRNA from 1 species
CAAGGGCGGCCCAACUCAAUCCUGCCGCGGUGCUCUUCAUUGAGUGUCGAGGUGGGCCGGCACGUUUACUUUGAACAAAUUAGAGUGCUUAAAGCAGGCUAAAACUUCGCCUGAAUACUGUGUGCAUGGAAUAAUGGAAUAGGACCUCGGUUCUAUUUUGUUGGUUUUCGGAACCCCGAGGUAAUGAUUAAUAGGAACGGAUGGGGGCAUUCGUAUUGCGACGUUAGAGGUGAAAUUCUUGGAUCGUCGCAAGACGGACAGAAGCGAAAGCAUUUGCCAAAAACGCUUUCAUUGAUCAAGAACGAAAGUUAGAGGUUCGAAGGCGAUCAGAUACNGCCCUAGUUCUAACCAUAAACGAUGCCAGCUAGCGAUCCGUCGACGUUCCUCCGAUGACUCGACGGGCAGCUUCCGGGAAACCAAAGCUUUUGGGUUCCGGGGGAAGUAUGGUUGCAAAGCUGAAACUUAAAGGAAUUGACGGAAGGGCACCACCAGGAGUGGAGCCUGCGGCUUAAUUUGACUCAACACGGGAAACCUCACCAGGCCCGGACACCGGAAGGAUUGACAGAUUGAGAGCUCUUUCUUGAUUCGGUGGGUGGUGGUGCAUGGCCGUUCUUAGUUGGUGGAGCGAUUUGUCUGGUUAAUUCCGAUAACGAACGAGACUCUAGCCUGCUAACUAGGCGUAUUUUGACAUCCUAAAGGCCCGCCGGCUCGGGG